AGUGAACGCUGGCGGUAGGCCUAACACAUGCAAGUCGAACGGCAGCACAGUAAGAGCUUGCUCUUACAGGUGGCGAGUGGCGGAUGGGUGAGGAAUACAUCGGAAUCUACUUUUUCGUGGGGGAUAACGUAGGGAAACUUACGCUAAUACCGCAUACGACCUACGGGUGAAAGCAGGGGAUCUUCGGACCUUGCGCGAUUGAAUGAGCCGAUGUCGGAUUAGCUAGUUGGCGGUGUAAAGGCCCACCAAGGCGACGAUCCGUAGCUGGUCUGAGAGGAUGAUCAGCCACACUGGAACUGAGACACGGUCCAGACUCCUACGGGAGGCAGCAGUGGGGAAUAUUGGACAAUGGGCGCAAGCCUGAUCCAGCCAUACCGCGUGGGUGAAGAAGGCCUUCGGGUUGUAAAGCCCUUUUGUUGGGAAAGAAAAGCAGCAGGUUAAUACCCCGCUGUUCUGACGGUACCCAAAGAAUAAGCACCGGCUAACUUCGUG
rnacentral:rRNA from 1 species